rnacentral:rRNA from 1 species
GCGGCAACAGCUCAAAUUUGAAAUCUGGCCCUCUCGGGGCCCGAGUUGUAAUUUGCAGAGGGUGCUUUGGCGUCGGCUGUGGUCUAAGUUCCUUGGAACAGGACGUCGCAGAGGGUGAGAAUCCCGUAUGUGGCCGCCAGCCUUCGCCGUGUAAAGCCCCUUCGACGAGUCGAGUUGUUUGGGAAUGCAGCUCUAAAUGGGAGGUAAAUUUCUUCUAAAGCUAAAUAUCUGCCAGAGACCGAUAGCGCACAAGUAGAGUGAUCGAAAGAUGAAAAGCACUUUGGAAAGAGAGUCAAAAAGCACGUGAAAUUGUUGAAAGGGAAGCGCUUGCAGUUAGACAUGCCUUUAGUUGCUCAGCCGGGCUCUUUGGCCCGGUGCACUCUUCUAUCGGCAGGCCAGCAUCAGUCUGGGCGGUCGGAUAAAGGCCUAUUAAACGUGACUCCCCUCGGGGAGAGCUUAUAGGGUAGGCGCCAUGCGACCAGCCUGGACUGAGGUCCGCGCAUCUGCUAGGAUGCUGGCGUAAUAGCUGCAAGCGGCCCGUCUUGAAACACGGACCAAGGAGUCUAACAUCUAUGCGAGUGUUUGGGUGUCAAGCCCGGGCGCGUAAUGAAAGUGAACGGAGGUGGGAUCCCCCCCGGGGUGCACCAUCGACCGAUCCUGAUGUCUUCGGAUGGAUUUGAGUAAGAGCAUAGCUGUUGGGACCCGAAAGAUGGUGAACUAUGCCUGAAUAGGGUGAAGCCAGAGGAAACUCUGGUGGAGGCUCGCAGCGGUUCUGACGUGCAAAUCGAUCGUCAAAUUUGGGCAUAGGGGCGAAAGACUAAUCGAACUAU